AACAAACAAUGCUUAACCAAAAACUCUUGGAAAGGCAAAUCAAAUUGGUGGAUAUUAAACAAGGUCAACAAAUAGUCCAUUUUCCCUCAUUUGCUGGAAUUGUACCAAUUAAAUAGUAGUAGUUUCAAAGAAACCAGACAUACGUGUAGCACAGAGACGGACAGGUGACAAGGCAAUCCUCUAAAAUGGGAGUAUGAACAGGACGGGGAACACAUCAAAUUUUUCAAAAACAUCUGUUUAGUUAUCAAUACCUACACACUAAAUAUUUUGGUUAGGGCUCCGGUAUCAACUGAUUGUGUGUAUUCCAAUAUACAUACACAUGUUUCGUUUUAACUUUGGUCCAAUACUUUCUUAAACUGCAUCAUUGGCGUGCCUGACAUGGAUACGGCGACCUCCUAGGUGUCUCGAUGCUUCAUAACAGACCAUUAAACCAUCACUAAACCUCAAAAUGGCACUUUCAACAUCCAACAAUAUGUACAGGAACAUGCUUACUGUUCCAAACUUACCUAAACACCCAAUAUAUCACUACAUACACACACGCACAAAUUAAUAAUGACUUGACAAGUCCUAACCCUUCAAGGACUCAAGGCAGGAAACGAGAUAAUUCAAUAUUAACUCAUUUAGAAUUUAAGUUAACAUGCUUUCAAACCAAUAAUCUAUCUAUACUACUUUUAAAAGUACGAAGCCCUGUCGUGUUUUCUACUUUUUGUUUUCCUUAAGUGCCCCAACGGCCCAACCAAUUCCUUUGAAUGCCUGCCUCCUACGCCCUUCUUAACCGACACAAGACCAACCACCCCUUUGGACUUGAGCGAAACACUCGUUGAAAGAAGCCCAACCAAUGAACGUUAUCCAAAGAAAAUACACAAACACGAGGAAAUAGGAAUUCAAAAGGCAAGAAGAAGUUAUACACUCCAACUCUUACUCAAAUUCAGAAUACAAAUCUAAUACACAACUGGAAAAGAAACUCCUCAUAAUUGUGACUCUCCCCAAACAUUACAACUUAUGAGAAGCAACAUGUGAACACUAGAGAUUUGCAGGGAAGGGGAAAAAAAGGGAUUGAAUCCUCUCCUAUCUAUUGGUUGUCCUCAGUGGAUCCACUUUAACAAUCAGGUCCGUUCAUUUUUUAGACCUCAUGGAGAAAAUUAGCAAAACCAAAACUCAUAUUGAUCAAAUAUGGUUUGAUAUGUUUUCAAAGAACAUCUAUAUUGAAAAACAUAGUUUCUGAUCUAUAUUGAGGAUCAACAAAGGUACAGACUGGACCCUCAAAGGACUCAAGUGGAGAGAAUCCAAGUCCAAAAAAAAAACAGAGAGAGAUACAAAAUGGUAAGAAACUGCACAAGUGAAGGGGUGCCGUUAAAUUGUAACAACUCCUGAAAUUGAGUGGAUAGGCACCUUGUCUGCACCAUAUAACUCAGCACCAGUGGCAUCCCAAAGCAAUAACACACCAUAACACCACUAAAAUCUUGAUCUUCAUCAAUUCCGUUUGUGACGACAAUUACUAGAAUUUUUCACACCCGGAAAGAGCCAAAAUCAUCAUGCAGUGUUCCUAGAUUUUAACUCCCUCUCUCUCAAUAUAUAUUUAUAUAUACUUGGUUAUACGUGUAACUUUUUCCACAAUUAUAACUCUAAUGC